GGGGCCGUGGCCCAGCUUGGCCAGGGCGCCAAUGUAACGCUGGAGGUCGCGGGUUCAAGUCCCGCCGGCCCCA
rnacentral:tRNA from 1 species